AAAAGUAAGCAAAUAUGUUCGUAUGCGAUCGGAAACUUGCGAUAAUGAAAUAUAACGUUAUCUUCUCUAUUUCUUAUAAAAGCAGAAAACUUGCUCGGCGAUGACGCGCUCUUUUAAAUCGAAGCUAAUCGCGCGACGGAUAACUACCAUAAUGCUCCCUGAUAUUAACUCCUUCAGACCCAACGGAGCUUUAUUUAUGCCAGCUGAUUAGCGACGAUCUGGAAAGGGCGCCGGGAAAUGCUAAUCCAGCUAAGUGAACCUUGUGAAUGCAGUCUGCCCCGAGGAAUUGUCGGGUCAACUAAAUUUUCUUCCUCUUCGUCUAGAUUCGAGGCGACGAGAAACGCGGUAAUCAGGCCGAAUUAACUGUCGCCGUCGUGGCUGACCCUAAAUAUUAGUGAGUUAAGUAGAUUUUUAUUCUCUCGCUUUAGCCGCAGUUACGACGAAGAAUCUAAUCUUGUCGGGGAUCUAAUUGAAGUUACGAGCACGUACAGGUGAAACCUCGCUGUUACAAAAGCAGAACCGGAAGAGAUUCACGCUACUGGCCCCAGACAAAUCCAAGAAUCUUCGCGAACUCAGUGUGUUCACGAUUUUAGGGUCUUGCACCUUGAAUCUACAGAUGCGACGUGUCGGUUUUCUUAGCGCGUGCUCAAGCACAGCCUCGAAUCUCGAGGAGUGAUGUUCUGCUCUUUUACCUGAUCCAUCUGCUUGCGGUGGAGCUGUUGCAACUGGCGGCUGCAUCCCCAACCCCGACGGCGGAGGAUACGGUGCAUAGUACUUUUGGUCGCUCAUUCUUCUACUUCCGGCUUCUACCUGUCCUGUGAACAAAGCAAAACCGGCACGAUCAAUUGACGGGCCUUCAAUAGAUUAUUUGGAAAGAUUAUUUUGAAAAUCAAGGAAAAAAAGGGAAGGAAAUUGAAGUCCAAGAAACAAAUAAAAGUAUGUAUUAUGAUAAAAAAUAUAAGAAUAUAAAAGAUAUUA